GACGAACGCUGGCGGCGUGCUUAACACAUGCAAGUCGAACGCUGAAGCUUGGUGCUUGCACUGGGUGGAUGAGUGGCGAACGGGUGAGUAACACGUGAGUAACCUGCCCUUUACUUCGGGAUAAGCUUGGGAAACUGGGUCUAAUACCGGAUAUUCUGCAUGGUCGCAUGGUUGUGUAGGAAAGAUUUUUUGGUAAGGGAUGGGCUCGCGGCCUAUCAGUUUGUUGGUGGGGUGAUGGCCUACCAAGACGACGACGGGUAGCCGGCCUGAGAGGGCGACCGGCCACACUGGGACUGAGACACGGCCCAGACUCCUACGGGAGGCAGCAGUGGGGAAUAUUGCACAAUGGGGGAAACCCUGAUGCAGCGACGCCGCGUGGGGGAUGACGGCCUUCGGGUUGUAAACCUCUUUCAGUAGGGAAGAAGCGGAAGUGACGGUACCUGCAGAAGAAGUACCGGCUAACUACGUGCCAGCAGCCGCGGUAAUACGUAGGGUACUAGCGUUGUCCGGAAUUAUUGGGCGUAAAGAGCUCGUAGGUGGUUUGUCGCGUCUGCUGUGGAAACGUGCCGCUUAACGGUGCGCGUGCAGUGGGUACGGGCGGACUAGAGUGCAGUAGGGGAGUCUGGAAUUCCUGGUGUAGCGGUGAAAUGCGCAGAUAUCAGGAGGAACACCGGUGGCGAAGGCGGGACUCUGGGCUGUUACUGACGCUGAGGAGCGAAAGCAUGGGGAGCGAACAGG
rnacentral:rRNA from 1 species